CGGUUGCCUUGGCAACAGCCGUCCUUUCUUCCGGAGCGCCAAGCUGAAGAAAACCAGAUGACCCAACGUGGUGGAAGUUAGAACCUUGCGCCGCCGGCAGGCGCAGGGUCCCGAGAGGGGUGGAGAGAUACACAUUAAACGAAUCUGUUCCUUGGGACCGCUGAGCCAUUAGUGUGUGAGACUGAAUUGCAAAUAGAAGUCUGAGAUUCUGUGUGGAGAGUUCCAUGUGACAAAGAACUGAAGGAGGCCAACCAACAUCUCAUGAAAAACUGGCUUCAAUCCAACAUCCCUGUGAUCCGGAGGAGGAUGGUGGCUGGAAGAUCCAAAUCCUUCUCUCUGCUCUUCAAGUCUGCUUCUGGGAUCUCUUCUCAAGGCCCCCUGUGGCAGGAGCUUCAGUCAUCAAGGGGGCAUUCCAGGCAACAGGAAGCAGGAAGCAGGGAAGGUGAACAAAACACAUCACAAUUUCAAUGUAAAUUGAAGCCCUGCUAUUCAUGGGUAGUUGGAGAUGGAAACUGGAAGCCAGCUAGAAAUCUCUAAGAGCCUCUUGAAGAAGUGCCUUUUCUCUUCUUCCUUCAUGUGCUUUAAAAUGUGCUAUGAACACAUACAACCAUAAAUGUAGUAAAAGCAUUCACUGAUAAUCCAUAGGGUGAGAUGACUCUAGUGAAAAUAGACAAAGAAAGAGAAGUCCUGAUCUGAUAAAAAGUCCUGUUGGUGGUGGUGAAAAUUCCUGGAAAAAUUCCAAAGGAUGGUAAUCCAUAUUUUAUAGCUGUUACUGUAUCAGAAAUGGUAAUCAAAAUCUUUGUGUAAGAAGGGGAAUGGAUAAAUAUACAAUUAAACUUCAGCUUCAGUUGGAAGAUGAUUAUUGCCCCAAACCAACCCAAAGGCAAAAAGAUUUUUAGAAAAUGUGAAUCCAGGGGCCGGUUCUGUGGCAUAGCAGGUAAGGCCUCCACCUGCAGUGCCAGCAACCCAUAUGUGUGCCAGUUGAAGUCCCCGCUACUCUACUUCCAAUCCAACUCUCUGCUAUGGCCUGGGAAAGUAGUAGAAGAUGGGCCAAGUCCUUGGGCACCUGCACCCACGUGGGAGACCAGGAAGAAGCUCCCAGCUCCUGGCUUCAGAUCGGCAUAGCUCUGGCUGUUGUGGCCAUCUGGGGAGUGAACCAGCAGAUGGAAGACCUCUUUCUCUGUCUCUGCCUCUCUAUAACUCUGCCUUUCAAAUAAAUAAAUAAAUAAACAAACAAAUAAAUAAAAUAUUUUUUUUAAAAAAAGACUAUAAAAAUGUUUUUAAAAAAAGAAAAUGUGAAUCCAUUCCUAGACAAUAUAUCCAAAAAUGUUAGAAUAAAAAAGAAUUUUCCUUUAUAUUCUGACACCUACGACUAUAGCUAUCACUAGAGACAUAAACCCUGGCAGUUUUAUUUGAAGUGAGAGAGAAUUAGGUGCUGAUGUUUAUUUUUAUAGAACAGGGAGAUAGGGAUCUAGAAAAUAAAGCAACACCUGUGUGUUCCUACCACUAGGUCUGUCUGAGGGAUAAGAAAUGGGAGGGAGGGAAAUAGGGGCGGUGAAUGAUCCUUAUCAAUCCCAAGGCAUCCUUUUAUGAUCCUGCGUUUUCUGUGAAAUCUGCAUUUGUCUGAGAGUGUCUCUCCUUAAAUAUUUUUGGGUAUGAGCUUCCAGAUUCCUUUUCAAAAUCAUGUUUACAGCGAUCAGCCAGAUUUCAAUGAAGGCCUUUGCUUUAUGUAAAGGGUAAAGUAGAGCUUAAAUGAAUAUAAGGUAAUUUUUUUUAUUUUUCAUGAAGAAAACAAAAAGUCCCACCAUUGUCAUAGCAUAACUAAAGUAAUGUGAAAGUUUUUUUAAUCUUUUGUGCGACAUAAAUUAGGGAAAUUCAAUAUGCUAUUAAGAAGGGGUUUAUUAAAUAAGAGCUUCCAGGAGGGAAAAGUGUGACUCUUUUCCAUGUGCCACUGAUAAUUUUAAGACAUUUUGUUUUGGAUCUCUGCCUAUCUCAGUGUUUUACUUGAUAACAAACCUCACUGAGUCAGUUCUUGGCAAUUUCAUAACAAUGCAUUUCAUAUUUACAUCCAAGAUCCAUAAACCUAAUUAUCUCUUAUGUUAAUGUGAAAAGUAAUGAUAAUAAUGAUGCCAAUGACAUUUAGUUCUUGGCUUAGAUAUCCUAUGCAUAUGUUUCUUAUUUACUUAACAGUAAUGGACAAGUGCACAAGUCAUCAGAGUGACCUCCUUCCAUAGAGCUAUUCGGAGACUCAGAAGCUCUGCCAUCCUCAACAAAUGGCUCCCCAGGUCACUGUGGGGGUCAUUUCUGUCCCAGUCAGUCAGGGGAUGAGUAUGGAGUAGCACACAGGGGAGGGUUUUCUAUGUCAAAUGCUAUUUGCUGGAGUCCAGAUGCGGCUAAUAUAAAGCUGAUCCUGACUGUUUUUUCUUCAUAUUUUUCUAUUAUUCCAAAAAGAUGGAGUAUCCCUGAAGUUAGAUGCAAUUAUGGAUAAUUUAUUCAUAAUUGAAAAGAGCUUUUCAAUUUUAGAAGGUUAGAGAGGAAAAUGGAUAUGAUUUAAGUUUAUAGAUUUAAUGCAAGCAAAAAGAAGUUGACUAAAUCACAGACCACAGAUGAGGAUGCUGUCUUUGAGGACUGAAAGUGUUAAUUAGAGCAUGUAAAAGCAAUAGAGUACUAUUUUGGAGUAAAUAUAAGUGUUUUAACUACUAUUGAUUAAAACUAUGUAACAACGGGCCGGCUCAAUAGGCUAAUCCUCCACCUGCGGCGCCGGCACCCAGGGUUCUAGUCCCGGUUGGGGCACCGGAUUCUGUCCCAGUUGCCCCUCUUCCAGCCCAGCUCUCUGCUGUGGCCCGGGAAGGCAGUAGAGGAUGGCCCAAGUCCUUGGGCCCUGUACCCGCAUGGAGACCAGGAGAAACACCUGGCUCCUGGCUUCGUAUCAGCACUGUGCGCCGGCCACAGAAGCCAUUGCGGGGUGGACCAACGGAAAAGGAAGACCUUUCUCUCUGUCUCUCUCUCUCUCUCCACUCUGCCUGUCAAAAACAAACAAACAAACAAAAACAAAACAAAACAAAACAAACCACAAAAGAAACAAAAAACUACGUAACAGGGACUUACAUAGCUUGAUUUUAUUUGAUCUUUACAAUGACUGUUCAAGAUGGCUUAGUGUGGUGGUUAAAUUCACAGGCUCUAGGGCCAAACUGCCUGGGCUUGAAUUUCCACUUAUUAGCUGGAAAAUGUUGGUCAACCAUUUAACCAUUCUCUGAUUCAGUUUCUUUAUAAGAUGGUCAACCAUUUAACCAUUCUCUGAUUCAGUUUCUUUAUAAGAUGGAGACAGUAAUAGCAACUGAAUUCAUAGAAUUAAUGUGAAUAUUAAUGUAUUAGUAGCAUAAAACCCUUAGAGGCAUGCAUGGUGUAUAAUCAGUUUUCAUUAUUAUUAAUUCUCCAUUUACAUAUUAAGAUAAUGUAUUUUAGAAAGGGUCAGACACAUUGCCAAUUCACACAGCUACUAAUAGAUAGAACUGGCUGUGAAAAGGUAUAUCUAUCCAAAUCAGAAUGCCUGUACUUCAUACUAUAGCAGGUCUAA